UCGGGAAUUUUGGGCAAUGGGCGAAAGCCUGACCCAGCAACGCCGCGUGAGGGAUGAAGUAUUUCGGUAUGUAAACCUCGAAAGAAUGGGAAGAAUAAAUGACGAUACCAUUUAUAAGCACCGGCUAACUACGUGCCAGCAGCCGCGGUAAUACGUAGGGUGCAAGCGUUAAUCGGAAUUACUGGCCGUAAAGCGUGCGCAGGCGGUUUUGUAAGACGGAUGUGAAAUCCCCGGGCUUAACCUGGGAACUGCAUUCGUGACUGCACGGCUAGAGUAUGGCAGACGAGGGUAUAAUUCCACGUGUAGCAGUGAAAUGCGUAGAGAUGUGGAGGAAUACCGAUGGCGAAGGCAGUCACCUGGGCCAAUACUGACGCUCAUGCACGAAAGCGUGGGG
rnacentral:rRNA from 1 species